rnacentral:rRNA from 1 species
GCNANAUUACNAAGCGAAACUGCGAAUGGCUCAUUAUAUAAGUUAUCGUUUAUUUGAUAGUACCUUACUACAUGGAUAACCGUGGUAAUUCUAGAGCUAAUACAUGCUGAAAAUCCCGACUUCGGAAGGGAUGUAUUUAUUAGAUUCAAAACCAAUGCCCUUCGGGGCUCCAAUGGUGAUUCAUGAUAACUUCUCGAAUCGCACGGCCCCGCGCCGGCGAUGGUUCAUUCAAAUUUCUUCCCUAUCAACUUUCGAUGCUACGGUAGUGUCCUAGCAUGGUUGCAACGGGUAACGGGGAA